GACUGAACCCGUCUGCACCUAAUCAUUCCCUUUGUUUCAUUUCGGGGGGUUUCUGCUGCACGGUGUUCGCGCUCGUUUGUUCGCUGCCCCUUCGAAAUCUCAAGACAAAAAUCACUCUUUCCACCUCUCUGAAUCUCGAUCACGCCGAGAGGACGACUCCCCUCCCUCCUCCGUUCUCCAUCGCUGUGUGAUUCGUGCUUUCUUCGUCUUCUUCGUCCACUCUCCUUUCAGAGCAGGCCUUCCCUUGUAUCAUUCCAAUCCCUAGCCGCCAAGUGUUCCAUUCCGCUUCUCGGUUCAGCUUGUGCGGGAAUCAAUUAUUCGGUUAUUGAUCAAGCUUCUAGAGGUUAGAGGGCCUGCUGGUUGAUGAUGAAUUUGCAACAAGUUGGGCAGUCUAGAUCCUCUAAUGGAUAUGGCCGUCGAAAAUCUGAAAGAGAAGGGGCAGCCAAGUCAGAGAAUAAGAUCUCAUCUGGGAAGUCAAAUUCCAACAGACGGGCAAGUACAGGUGAUGGUCCUUCACAUGAUCGACUAGUAUAUGUUACAUCAUGUCUUAUUGGACAGCAGGUGGAAGUGCAUGUUAAAAAUGGAUCUAUAUACUCUGGAAUAUUCCAUGCAACAAAUACUG